AAAGGACCUGACUGCGCUGGAAAUGCUGCCCAAAAGCCUCCGGUAUCAGAAUUGGAGUCACCAAAGUUGAAGAUUGCCUCAAAUUCACACUUGGAGUGACUUAAACUAUUUAGCAUUGCCAUCAUCAUUAUGCAAAAUACUGGAUCAAAACUGGUCUGUCAUUUGAAAAAAGGAGGAGGUGAAGGGAGAGCAGUUCCAAAAGCAAAUAUAUUUAUAUCAUUGUUAAUUUUUGUGAUCACUUGCUGUUAUACAUAGUAACUGACACGUGGAUGUUGAUGAAGUGAAGCGGAUGCAGAUAACAUUCUCUUUGGCUAUUCUGAGCAGAGCACAUAUGUAGGAGAAAGAAGCGGUUUUCAUGGUCAUUUCCUUACCUAAAAGAUUAGCAAGUGAGAAAUUGUUACAUUAAUUUGAUCUAAAAUGUUAUCUAUAUACAGUGACUUGCGGCUAUGUAUAUUCUCUAAUUCAUAAUUUCUUCUACGAGUAAGAAGAGUUAUAUUAGGAAGUCACUUUAUCUUGAUUAA